AGUUUCAUACCAAGAGCCAAAUCCUCCUCUAAAUCUAGCCUAAACACUUUCUAUUUCCUAAAAUUCAAGAGAUUCUUGAAAGUUUAGUCUUGGAGUUAGAUAGAGAAAGUUGUGUUGUUGGUGUUAUCUUGGACAUGAGUGGAGUGAAGGAGUAAGUUGCCCCUUUUCUAACAUGAGCUUGAGCUAAGUUGUUCAGGAUAAGCAAGGAGCGAGAUUGGUCCGGUGCUGGUGGGGAGUUGUUUCAUCUAAUGUUUUCUUUGACCGAAAUCCCAUUUUUGGUGAUAAAAUCUUAAUGAGGAGUUACUUUGUUCUGAAUCAAGCAAUUUACUCUCGGUUAUGUGUCUUCAUACAUAUAAUCGGUUCACCUUUUGCUGCGAUACUCUGAACCUUAUGUUUCUUCGUGAAUAUUGAGCUAUACCUACUUUGUAUUUGUUCAUGAGAAUCCUGAUAUUUAUGAAAUUAUGACGA